UGGGCCAAUCAUUGUUUGAAGCUGUUGGCCU
rnacentral:piRNA from 1 species